rnacentral:rRNA from 1 species
AUAUCAGUCAUGCAUAGCAUAUCAAUAAGCGGAGGAAAAGAAACUAACAAGGAUUCCCCUUAGUAACGGCGAGUGAAGCGGGAAGAGCUCAAAUUUGAAAUCUUCAAGGUUCUACCUUGGCGAAUUGUAGUUUAUGGAAGUGUUUUCUGUUAGUAGAGUGGCAAAAGUUCUUUGGAAUAGGACAUCAUAGAGGGUGAGAAUCCCGUAUUUGGUCAUUCCUUCUAGCGUUGUGAUACACUUUCAACGAGUCGGAUUGUUUGGGAAUGCAGUCCAAAAUGGGUGGUAAAUUUCAUCUAAAGCUAAAUAUUGGCGAGAGACCGAUAGCGAACAAGUACCGUGAGGGAAAGAUGAAAAGAACUUUGAAAAGAGAGUUAAACAGUACGUGAAAUUGUCAAAAGGGAAGCGUUUGACACCAGUGUUGUUUUUCCGAAAAUCAAUUACGAAUGUUUUGUUUUUAAGAAGUUAUGACUUCAUCGGCUUGCUUCUCUCUUUACGAAACUUUCUUAAUGCACUUUUCGGUUAACAAGUCAACAUCAAUUUCUUUUGUUGUAAAAGGGUAUGAGGAAGGUGGCUUUCUUUUCGGAGAAAGUGUUUAUAGCCUUGUACCUCUGCAAUCGGAGAGAUUGAGGUCUGCAGCGUAGAUCCUUCGGGGUUAGAUACAUUUGUGCUAAGUUAUAGCUUUUCAUAGACAACUUGUUGACUAUGUUUAGUCUUGUAGCUUACUCGCUUAUGCUAUUUUACCUACGCUUAGGAUGUUGAUCUCUCACAGUCGAGC